rnacentral:rRNA from 1 species
UGGUGGCUUUGCGAGGUGAAAAAACCCGAUCCCAUCCCGAACUCGGCCGUUAAGCACCUCUGCGCCGAUGGUACUCCGUCUUAAGGCGCGGGAGAGUAGGUCGUCGCCAGGCC